rnacentral:rRNA from 1 species
GCUAAUAGUUGCCGCCUUUACUCUUGUAUCGGGGCGGCAAUUCUUCUUAGAGGGACUGGCGAUUAUUAGUCGCACGAGAUUGAGCAAUAACAGGUCUGUGAUGCCCUUAGAUGUUCUGGGCCGCACACGCGCUACACUGAAUCAAUCAGCUAGUUUUUUUCCCACUCCGAGAGGAGCGGGUAAACUGUUGAACCUGAUUCGUGGUAGGGAUCGGGGCUUGCAAUUGUUCCCCGUGAACCAGGAAUUCCCAGUAGGCGCUAGUCAUAAGCUAGCGUCGAUUACGUCCCUGCCCUUUGUACACACCGCCCGUCGCUACUACCGAUUGAGUGUUUUAGUGAGGUCCUCGGAUUGCUUGCCUGGUGGCUCACGCUGCCUAGCAGACGAGAAGACGACCAAACUGUAGCACUUAGAGGAAGUAAAAGUCGUAACAAGGUAU